rnacentral:rRNA from 1 species
UACGUAGGGUGCAAGCGUUAAUCGGAAUUACUGGGCGUAAAGCGUGCGCAGGCGGUGAUGUAAGACAGUUGUGAAAUCCCCGGGCUCAACCUGGGAACUGCAUCUGUGACUGCAUCGCUGGAGUACGGUAGAGGGGGAUGGAAUUCCGCGUGUAGCAGUGAAAUGCGUAGAUAUGCGGAGGAACACCGAUGGCGAAGGCAAUCCCCUGGACCUGUA